UUCAACGGGUGCCAGGCUAUUCUGGAAGCUUCUGGUUCCUUCAGUCGGAGUCGGGCGCUCGAAGGAAGUGGUUUCUUUGGCGGCGGUUGCAACUAACGGAGAGCUAAUUAUUUUCUCCUCGGGAGUCGCGAGCGGCGUCUUGACCGGCAGCCGAGCGGGCUUUUCUUAACCUAUUUCGUCGUUGGCGUGAGGAAUUCGGAGUGUUUCUUCUUUCAGGCGUUCCCUCCCCUCGCCUUUUUUGCUCUAAUGGCGGUGACUAAGGAAGCCGAGCUCUGCCCUCAGGGACCUCCGCGGAGCCAGAGUCCUCACCAAAUCAAUGGAAGUUGCAAGAAGAAAGAGAUUUCUGUGGCACUUAAUGUAUUUGGGACUGGACAGCAGACAGCAGAAGGGGCAUGUUCUAAAAUUUCUGAAAAGCAGAAAGUGAGCAAGACAACAGAUGAGAUGAUAGGAUUCAUGGAUGAUUUGACUCUGAGCUCACCUAAAGGGAGAUCUCUGUCAUGUUCAAGGAGCAGCUGUAGCAAGCGAUCCUCCUCAGUAUCUUCUAAUGAUUCAUCUUACAGUUCAAUUAUUUCAUCUUCCUCCACAAGCUGGAGUAGAUCAAGGAGCAGAUCAAGAUCACAUGCAAAAAGGAUUUGUUCUCGGAGAUCCAGAGGAGUAUUCAGAGGAUACUCAAGAUCUUAUUCCAGGAGUCAUUCAAGAUCACACAAUUACAGAUACCGGGAAAGAUCCCAUUUUAGAUAUUAUGGAAGACAUCCUAGCUCACAUCCAAUACAUCAAUCACGGAGUAGAUCUCCUAUUAGAUCUUACUAUCACAGGUGUUACUCCAGAAGUAAAUCAAGAAGCUGAGGAUACUAUGGGUUUGGAAGAACAGUAUGUCCUGAAGUUUAUGGAAGGUGGAGAAAUUGCGCUCUAACAAGACCUCUUCGCUUGACAGAAAAAGAAUAUAAUGCCAAGGCCAUUGGCCCUGAAAUCAGCAAGUCUGCUUUGUAAAAACCUGGUAGUAUCCCCAACAAGAGAAAAGGGGCUCUGUUGGCCAGUGGAUUCCUGUUAAGAAUGAAGAAAAUAGAGUUUCAUAAUUUUUUUACCUGAAAGUACAACUUUCAGAGCACGCUAGUAGUUCUGUUCUGGUUAAUAGCAUCCGAAAUCCAAAAUAUCUCAUAUUUGAGAUUUAAAUGUAGGUUACCUCAUUUGAAACUAGAAUUUGUUUUGCAGAUAGAAAAUGGAAUAUACAGACAAAGUGAAUGCAGGUAGGAUUUUUUUCUGUAAAUUUUGCUUUUUGGCUGAAAUGGAUUAUGUCACAAACAGGAAUAUCUUACUGAUAGAUUUUAGUGUGUAACAAAUGAAGGUUUCUUCAUUUUAUAAUGUUAAGCACUUUUAAACUGUUAUGUAUGGCUCCUCUUGGCAAUUCAUUUUAGCUAUGUAGUUAAAUGUUUUGCUUUAACAAUUGCAGUAAGUACAAAGACAACAAAAGAUACAUUAGUGAAGUUCUAGUAUUUUCAUAUUAAUCCUUGCCUGUUACCAACACUCCAUAAAUUACUCUCCUUGCAACAAUUGUAAGAAAAAUUUCUAAAGUUCUUAUUUAGCUGUGAAUAAGCUUGACACAAACAUUUAAAGAAGUCAUGCUUCAAGCAGAAAGGGCUGGGCAGGGCAAAUUUAGGUAAUAUGCUGUUGAUUGUUUUUUACUUAAUUUCAUAGUUUGUGUAAAUAUUGUACUAUAGCCAAAUGUUUUGAACUGUUUGACAUUACAAUGGUUAUUCAAGAAAAAAUGGCAUUCAAAAUGAGUGAAGGAUGACUUUGUAUAAGCUGCAUUUUUUCUGCAAUUUUCAUAAAAAUCUGUAAUAAAGAAUUUCAAAUAAAC